UACGUAGGGGGCAAGCGUUGUUCGGAAUUACUGGGCGUAAAGGGCGCGUAGGCGGCAUGGCAAGUCAGGAGUGAAAGGCCUGGGCUCAACCGAGGAACUGCUUUUGAUACUGCCAAGCUAGAGUGCGGAAGGGGCAACUGGAAUUCCCAGUGUAGCGGUGAAAUGCGUAGAUAUUGGGAAGAACACCUGAGGCGAAGGCGGGUUGCUGGGCCGACACUGACGCUGAGGCGCGAAAGCCAGGGGAGCAAACGGA
rnacentral:rRNA from 1 species